GACGUAGGGGCGCGAGCGUUGUCCGGAUUUAUUGGGCGUAAAGAGCUCGUAGGCGGCUUGUUGCGUCGACCGUGAAAACCCGCGGCUCAACUGUGGGCUUGCAGUCGAUACGGGCAGGCUGGAGUUCGGUAGGGGGAGACUGGAAUUCCUGGUGUAGCGGUGAAAUGCGCAGAUAUCAGGAGGAACACCGGUGGCGAAGGCGGGUCUCUGGGCCGAUACUGACGCUGAGGAGCGAAAGCGUGGGGAGCGAACAGG
rnacentral:rRNA from 1 species